CUAUCCCCAUUGCUGGCCUGCGACAAGCAGAACUAUGAUAGGCUCUGAAAUCUAAAGCUUCCAACAAACCCAUAACCAAAAUCAAAACAUCAGAAAACUAAAAGAGACAGAAAGUUAUGACAACUUUUACUCAGUUACGGUAAUUCUGUGAACCUUGGCUGAUUGAAGAGGGAUCAGACCUGGGUGCAAGGAAGUGGAUGUCGGAAAAAAAAAAAGAAGACAGGAAGUGCUUGGGAAACAGGUAUGGGAAUGAGUUUCUAGAGAAAUUCUAAAUUGCGUGCGACACUCUAAAUUUAUGUCUUCUAUGGACAUUUUAACUGAAUUAAACCAUCAUAACUGAAUAGCUUAUAGUGUCAUCAGGUUGUUGGAUGUCUAGCUCAGUAAUGUUACCAUCCGUGCUCAAUCUAAGUUCAUAACCAGAUCAAGGCCUGUUAAUGGUCAGGUCAUAACUUGAAUCCAUUCAAUAACUCAAAUCAGGCAAUUGUUUUCCAGUUUAUAGCCUGAUAAUGAUCUAAGUCUUAUCGAUGCAUUAGUAUGAAUGGCUGGUUCGUACUGGAAACCAAUUUCAUAACUCAAACCCACCAGCAGUUUUCAGUCUGGCAACCGAUGGGUCUACCUAAUCCAUCCAUCAAUAGAUGGACAAGAUUUAGAUUGAGAGCAAACUGACAAGAUGGUGACAAGAUCCAUUAAGUAAAACAAAUUUACAAAACAAAACAUGUAGUCACAUCUACAAUUGAAGUCUAAUCCCAGUGAAUCCUGCUGCCACACUACACCAGUAAUUUGCUUGCUUUACCACCAUGCUCUCUAUCUCUGAUCCCAUGAUCACCUGCACCAUUACAAUGCCUACUUUAUCACAAAGAAAGCUCUCUCUCUCUCUCUCACACACACACAUCUCAAGUCCCAUCCACCUCAAGUCAAUCCGUUCUCCUUUCCCUUUCUAGAAAUCCCCCUCCACCAGCAUCCACCAUAGUCAUCCUCCACCUCCAUAUUCCCUUUCCUAUGUUCCUCUUAUCCUCAACCGUUGCUCCUUCAUUAUCAUCCAAUGCCACUUCCACCAUUUUUCCCUUAACAAGUCUCUCUCAUCUUCAAACCCCAAUUUCUCCAGUCCCCACUCACCUCACCUGUAAGCCUCCUCCAUACCUGCCUUCAUAUAAUUAAUAUGUUGUACGCCAAGGAUGCAUACCACCUUCUUAUGUGAUCAAUGUACAAGAGAAUCCCACAAAAGACUUCAAGGACACCAGGCCCACAAAACACAUUGAUGGCAAGUCAGACUGGAAGACCCGGCAAUGAAGUCAAAGCUCAAAACAGUUCCACUCUUAUCAGAUCUAGUUUUCCAAAAGUGACUAAUGGAGUCCAGAUAAGGAAAAUAUCACCCAAAAAUUGACAAGGUGCCACUGUAAAUUCUGUGGGAUUAUUAUGACAUUGCAAAUUGACUGACACCUAAUUUCUACCUUUAGAUUCCAUGAAAAUCAUGUAACUAUCAGUUAACAUGGAUAGCCUAUAUUUUGAUUUCUUAUUAGUAAUAUGAGACCUAGUCAAGUUUAUAAGGGAUUUCCAGGAAACUUAAGCAUUGUAAAGGCCCCUAGAACUUAUAAAAUACCAAUGUAUGGUAUGAGAACAUGCAAGAGACUUGUAGUGCAAGGCAACGGUUAAGAAAAGUACUUGGUCUGAGGCUAUGCUCCUUCAAUCAAAUUCAGAUAAAGAUAUUGGUUUGAAACUGGAAUCCUCUAUCAAAGGCUUUUGAAGCCAAAGGGGCAAAGCUAAAUUUUCAGCAUAUUAUGUUACCGAAACCGUCACGAGUCAUGACCAUAUCAAAGAAUGUGCCAGAACAAGGUUUGCUGUCUCGGUACCGGUGCCACACUAGCAUUGUGUCAGUACGAUACGAUAUAGGAUCUUUUUAGCAUACUAAGUAUCGGUAUGCCGCCCAUACCAGAUACCGAUAUGGAACAGGUACGGCAAACCAUGUGUCAGAUCUUACCAACAAGUCAGAUAUGUACUACACUCAAAUACUCAACAAACUCUUCUAUUGUAUAUUUCACAAAACGGUAGAGACAAGACCAAGAUAUGCCGUUUCGGUACUUUGGUGCCAACCUGUUAUUGUGUCGGUACAUCCGGUAUGGGGACUAGUUCGGCAUACCAAGUGCAGUACACCUCUCAUACCAUGUACCAAUACCAAACUAGUAUGGUACAAUAUGCCCUAUACUGCCCGGUUCGGUAUAGUGUGGCGUACCUUUAGACAAGACCUUUUCAUUAAUUAUUUGACCCACAAUUAUGACAUCAGAAAUAAGCUUUUGUUCCUUUGAGAGAUUGUACAUUUCAUAAUUUGGUAAAGACUUGGACCAUUUCACAAAAAUGUCAUGUUUCUUAUAUGCUUAAACUAAUUUAGUAGUUUGACUAAGAAAUCUGUUUGUUUAAACUUGAAAGUCAUAUUCUAAUGUUUUCGUUUUAGUAGUAUUGGAAACAUAAUUUAUUUAAUUUUUUUGUCCUGCAUGUGUCCAUAUUCCUUUGUGUCCUCUUCCUAAGAUGCUUGCAUAUGUAUAUGGACCUCAUUCUCACACUCAUAUCCACAUAACACUGUUAGAAAUAAGAGGUAUGACACCUAAUGUUCGUCUCAUCAUCAAGAACAUACCUUUCUUUGCAACAUUCUUUUUUGCUUAUGCAAUCUUUUAUUUUAAUUCACUUUCCUGCUUUCUGUAUUUGAUUAUGCUUUAUAUAUUCUAUAUGUUAUGGGCUAAGGGACUUCAUAUACCCACCUAUAUGAUUGAAGUUUCCCUCGUAUCUCUAAAAACAAACCCAAAUGCUUCAGUUUCAAUCAGAGUUAAAACAAAACUAGAGCUAGUUUCAGAGUUUUGCUUGUAAGUUGUAACUAGUUUGUGAGGCCAAAUGAGGUGUAUAUAUGGGCUAUGUUGCUUCUGUUUUCUUUCUACCUUUCAUUUUUUUUUCCCAAAACAUCAGAAAACAUUUUCUUUAAAGUCUAAACCAAACUUAGAUUCCAUGUCUUUUCAGAAGAUCUGGAUGAAAGCAUAAUAGAAUGAUAUGAACAAAAAUUGAAAUUACUUGCCCAGAGGCUUAAGUAGCAUGCAAAAAUUUUCUCGAGGGCUGAGACAAGUCACAUACUGGGUUACAAGUUACUUUUAAUUUCAUAAGUCUAAUUUAAGCAAUAUAACGUAAUUCUUCCAAUUGCAUGCCCAAGUAGUGCAAGGUACUACCUCCAAUCUCUAUAACCUCAUUAGGUCCCCAAUCAGAUCUACUUUUCACAUCAGACAAGCCUAAAGGACUUCUCCAAAUUCUAACUCCAACUAAGGAAUGAUAGAGAGAAAAGAGUUGGGGGGCUAGCUUCUUGGAGUAAAGCAAGUUAUUCGAAUUAAAAGUCAAACCAGGGGCAUUAGCAAUAGUAGGUUGACUGUGCAUGUAUCUACAUAAAAUAAAUGCAUGUUUAUAUUCAUAUGUGCUCCAAAAAUGAUUUUAUGAAAAUGGUCAUAAUCACAUAGAAACAUUGCUAUUGCUGGAUUGUGCAGAACGAAACAGCAGAACUCAAAUAGUUGUGAAGAAUAAUAGAACCUACUUUAUCAAUGUAAAUUUUCGUAGCAUUAAUAGUUGACAAAUGAGAGAUUAUGAGACUAACCGAGAAUGCAUGUGUGAUAUGCACACAAAACUCAACAGCAAUUCCUAUUGACAUGACAAGGUUUACAACAGAAACUGCAUUCAGUUGGAUCUCCAGGAUGGCCAUAAUUCCCUGCCAGGAUGUGCAAUGUAAGAAUAUGGAAAAACUAAGUUUUGCAGUAUACAUCAUCAUAACAAGCAAAGCAAUAGAAAUCAAGAGUCCAAUGAUUUUAUAAUAUAUGUUGCAGGAUUUGCCUCGCAAGAUUCUCUAUUUGUGGGAAAGUUGAAAAAGGCCCUUGUUCAGUCAUAGGAAGGUUUGAAAAAGCAUCAUCAUGGAGGUUGACCAAGCCAUAUCGUAUCAAAUCAGGCGGUAAAGGACGUACCAUAACAGUACCAACUACCAAAUCUGUAUGUAGUACAGGAGAUGUACUGACACUCGGUACGCAAACCGUCCUCCGUACCAAGUGUAUCGACAUAAUAACAGGGUGGCACUGGUACAAGGCCCAGAAUCGAUACGACGUACCUUGAUUGUGACAAAUAAUAUCAAAGCAGAUCCAGCCCAUGGCUCGUGUGGACCAGAUGAUGCUACAACAUGGGCCUAUUUGGGUUGAUCACAUGUUGUUUGUGGUGUUUGUGAUUGAAUUUAUGGUACUUAUAAAUAGAUUUAGAUCCUAAGCUUGGCGAGGAUGUUAAGGCUUAAAUAAGGGAAGGAUGUCAGAAUCCGUGCGGGCGUUUGUUGAGUCCCAUAUCAGUUAGAUAGAUUUUGGGUACUUAUAUAGGACUAAUGAACCCAAAUAACACUUUCUGGCUAGACUUUUUGGGUAAGGUCCUAGGUUGUGAUAGUAUUGGUAUGGGAUCCGAUACCAAGAUUGCAAACCGACACAAACACUACCAACCUAAUUUACUUGAAGAAUAUUGUGAAGUAUGGAAUAGAAACCCUUAGAAAACAUAACCAAAUAUCAGAUCAUAUAGCAUUCUUUUCCAAAGACACUUAUUUUUGUUUCACCACUAUCAUGGGCUUAUUUUGUCCCAAAUAUCUAUCCAUUGCCCAAACUAGUGUUACCUAGGUUACAAUAUGUUCAUUAUUGCAAAUCUAUCAUGUAUCGAUGCAGUAAAUUCUUAUGAUGUAUUAUACCCUGCAAAGCUGAUACUUAUCCAAUUGAAAUUAUGUUAGAUAAUCCAUAGGUAUAUUACCAAGUACCAAGUGUCUACAAGAAGUACUUGAUGCAAGGAAUGUUGAACUGGCCCGUACCGGCCACUUCAGCCCGUACUGAACCGGUCCAGUUUCUGACUAGGUCAGUGCGGCCACAGAAAACGGUCCCGGUUCCUACAAGGCUGGAACCGGCCGAUACAAGGCUGAACCUGAAGAACUGGACCGGUUCCGUCCGGUUCGGUGAGAACUUGAUGCGAACUGAAACCUAAUUCGGUUCGAUUUGCCAUAGCAUUAUGGUUGUGGCAUUAAAUGCCACAGCAAUGCCACAACAUGCUGUGGCUUGUUUGGCCGGUUCGGUACCGGUACCAAACUGGUCCAGUGGCCGACCAGUAUGCCGAUUGGUAACGGUUCGGCGAUUCUUGACUUGAUGGGUCAUACCAAUAUAUAACUUAGCACAUUUAUUAAGCCAAGCUAAUUUUUUCAAAAAAACAUAUCAUUACUUUUUAUCUAUUAAUGCUAAAAAUGUGCUAACAUGCGUUCUAAUGAUUUAGCUCUGCUCAUCACAUGAUUGUGUUUGAGAUGUCUCAUAACAAUUGGACUAAUCUGAUUACAAUUUCUUUUUCAAAUUCAUUGAUUGAUUUGUUCAAUCUUUCGUUCUUGCUUGCUGCAUGCAUGCUUUCUUUCCUUAGCUUACUUGCCCGAUAUAAAGUACAUAGAUCCAAAUAUCUUUCUCAUUGCC